rnacentral:rRNA from 1 species
UACGUAGGGUGCAAGCGUUGUCCGGAAUUAUUGGGCGUAAAGAGCUCGUAGGCGGCUUGUCACGUCGACUGUGAAAACCCGGGGCUCAACCCCUAGCCUGCAUUCGAUACGGGCAGACUAGAGUUCGGUAGGGGAGACUGGAAUUCCUGGUGUAGCGGUGAAAUGCGCAGAUAUCAGGAGGAACACCGGUGGCGAAGGCGGGUCUCUGGGCCGAUACUGACGCUGAGGAGCGAAAGCGUGGGGAGCGAACAGG